UGCUCGAUUCUUCAGAUAGAAAUUCUGGUCAUCUUUGUGUUUAGGCUUUUUCUUGCAUAUGUUCUUUAUCUCUAUUGAUUGAUAUUGUUCAAUGAGCAACAUACUUUUCUCUUCUACCUGGAUUUGUUUGAUGGUUUUAAGAACUCUGUUCUUUUUGACGUUUUACCCAACAAUAUAACUUCUGUUGUAGUCAUCUUCUGCUGCAACCCAUCCACAAAGCUUAUCAUGCAAGAUUAAACCCUUUCUCGAUGGGUUGCAAGAGAACAUCACUAAAAUAGAAGUAACAUUGUUGGGGAAAAACGUCACAAAUCCAGGUAUUAGAGAAUAGGAUGCUGAUCGUUGAAAAUAACUAUCUAUAAAGAUGGAGAAGAUACGCAAGAAAGAGUUGUAAACACAAAGC